UACGUAGGGGGCAAGCGUUGUCCGGAAUUAUUGGGCGUAAAGAGCGUGUAGGCGGCCAGGUAGGUCUGCUGUGAAAACUCGAGGCUUAACCUCGAGAUGUCGGCGGAAACCAUCUGGCUAGAGUCCGGAAGAGGAGAGUGGAAUUCCUGGUGUAGCGGUGAAAUGCGCAGAUAUCAGGAAGAACACCCGUGGCGAAGGCGGCUCUCUGGGACGGUACUGACGCUGAGACGCGAAAGCGUGGGGAGCGAACAGG
rnacentral:rRNA from 1 species